UACGAAGGGGGCUAGCGUUGUUCGGAAUCACUGGGCGUAAAGCGCACGCAGGCGGAUUGAUAAGUCAGGGGUGAAAUCCCGGAGCUCAACUUCGAAAUUGCCUUUGAUACUGUCUGUCUUGAGUCCGGGAGAGGUGAGUGGAAUUCCUAGUGUAGAGGUGAAAUUCGUAGAUAUUAGGAAGAACACCAGUGGCGAAGGCGGCUCACUGGCCCGGUACUGACGCUCAUGUGCGAAAGCGUGGGGAGCAAACAGG
rnacentral:rRNA from 1 species